ACAGGGCCUAUGUGCUUACUCGUGAGUGCACGUUAGGCGCUGAAAAUGCGUUCUAGCAAGUUUUUAAAUGCCUA